rnacentral:lncRNA from 1 species
GGUCAACAGUCCUUCCAAGCAACCACAGAAUGGACAACAAGAAGCUUCUCAUAGCAAAUAAAAGCCACCCGUAACCCCAAGGCCAACACAGAAGUGACAGUGGCCAUGCACAAGCUGCAGUGAACUAGAAGGUUGGAUUAUUUAUUUAAUAGUUUGUGAAACCUAAUACUAUGUCUGCACAGCCCACAGCAAAGUCAAAUAAUAUACAAAAUCUAUCAAAGGGGAUCCCAGCAUAUUUAUGCUUAUCCACAAGCUGAACUUUCCUCCUCUGCUGCUAGUGUACAAUCAGGGAGUUGUGCCGGAGACACUUACUUCCAGUCCAGGAUUUCAAACAAGCAUAACACCUCGCUAUCGUCGUUGGCUGCAUCUGUGAAGUCCACCUCAAUGCCGAAGACUUCCAGUUGACCGACUUUUCCAUCUACAAGGAGAAGAGCAAGCCAUGCUCUAAUCUCGGAGACAAACGGGAACAGAGGCGAAAUUUGAAGGUAAUCGUAUGCGUGAGCUCUGUAGCCGGGUCCAUCGACAUAAUCGAACCCUGACUUAUCUAUGAUACAAGCCACACGCUCAUCGUCACGUCUUCGGACGAGUAAGGACACAUGAAUGUCUUCCGAGAAGCAAAUUUCAAAGCCUUUCUGCACCGGAAUGGUCAUCUUGUAUGUCUGUGAUGCAAGAUGCAGUUGCAUAGCCUCACAUAUUCCAUCUGGAGGGUUGUAGAUGCGGGAGCGCACGACAGGACCGGGAACAACAGCGGAGUAAACUGAAGACGAGCCCACCCAAAUGUCCACGUAGAAUUCCAGAUCCUCGAACGACAGCUUGGGAGCUGGCAUGGGCCUCUUUCGCUGCUUCCUCACGAAACUAGUGAA